ACUUAAAUUGAAGAGUUUGAUCAUGGCUCAGAUUGAACGCUGGCGGCAGGCCUAACACAUGCAAGUCGAACGGUAGCACAGAGAGCUUGCUCUCGGGUGACGAGUGGCGGACGGGUGAGUAAUGUCUGGGAAACUGCCUGAUGGAGGGGGAUAACUACUGGAAACGGUAGCUAAUACCGCAUAAUGUCGCAAGACCAAAGAGGGGGACCUUCGGGCCUCUUGCCAUCAGAUGUGCCCAGAUGGGAUUAGCUAGUAGGUGAGGUAACGGCUCACCUAGGCGACGAUCCCUAGCUGGUCUGAGAGGAUGACCAGCCACACUGGAACUGAGACACGGUCCAGACUCCUACGGGAGGCAGCAGUGGGGAAUA
rnacentral:rRNA from 1 species